GACGAACGCUGGCGGCGUGCUUAACACAUGCAAGUCGUACGGUAAGGCCCUUUCGGGGGUCCACGAGUGGCGAACGGGUGAGUAACACGUGAGUAACCUGCCCACAACUUUGGGAUAACGCUAGGAAACUGGUGCUAAUACUGGAUAUGUGCUCCUGCUGCAUGGUGGGGGUUGGAAAGCUCCGGCGGUUGUGGAUGGACUCGCGGCCUAUCAGCUUGUUGGUGGGGUAGUGGCCUACCAAGGCGGCGACGGGUAGCCGGCCUGAGAGGGUGACCGGCCACAUUGGGACUGAGAUACGGCCCAGACUCCUACGGGAGGCAGCAGUGGGGAAUAUUGCACAAUGGGCGCAAGCCUGAUGCAGCAACGCCGCGUGCGGGAGGACAGCCUUCGGGUUGUAAACCGCUUUCAGCAGGGACGAAGCUUUUUGUGACGGUACCUGCAGAAGAAGCACCGGCUAACUACGUG
rnacentral:rRNA from 1 species